rnacentral:rRNA from 1 species
CUCAGUUCAGAUUGCAGGCUGNAACCCGCCUGCACGAAGUCGGAAUUGCUAGUAAUCGCGGAUCAGCAUGCCGCGGUGAAUACGUUCCCGGGCCUUGUACACACCGCCCGUCACACCAUGGGAGCCGGUAAUACCCGAAGUCAGUAGUCCAACCUCGUGAGGACGCUGCCGAAGGUAGGAUUGGCGACUGGGGUGAAGUCGUAACAAGGUACC